AUUGAACGCUGGCGGCAGGCCUAACACAUGCAAGUCGAACGAGUGGCGGACGGGUGAGUAAUGUCUGGGAAACUGCCCGAUGGAGGGGGAUAACUACUGGAAACGGUAGCUAAUACCGCAUACCAUCGGAUGUGCCCAGAUGGGAUUAGCUAGUAGGUGGGGUAAUGGCUCACCUAGGCGACGAUCCCUAGCUGGUCUGAGAGGAUGACCAGCCACACUGGCACUGAGACACGGUCCAGACUCCUACGGGAGGCAGCAGUGGGGAAUAUUGGACAAUGGGCGAAAGCCUGAUCCAGCCAUGCCGCGUGUGUGAAGAAGGUCUUCGGGUUGUAAAGUACUUUAAGUGAGGAGGCGUUACUCGCAGAAUAAGCACCGGCUAACUUCGUGCCAGCAGCCGCGGUAAUUC
rnacentral:rRNA from 1 species